rnacentral:rRNA from 1 species
AACGCGAAGAACCUUACCAGGCCUUGACAUCCCGAUCGCGGCCCCUUGAAAGAGGGGCCUUCAGUUAGGCUGGAUCGGUGACAGGUGCUGCAUGGCUGUCGUCAGCUCGUGUCGUGAGAUGUUGGGUUAAGUCCCGCAACGAGCGCAACCCUCGCCCUUAGUUGCCAUCAUUAAGUUGGGCACUCUAAGGGGACUGCCGGUGAUAAGCCGCGAGGAAGGUGGGGAUGACGUCAAGUCCUCAUGGCCCUUACGGCCUGGGCCACACACGUGCUACAAUGGCGGUGACAAUGGGCAGCAAAGGCGCAAGCCCCAGCUAAUCUCAAAAAGCCGUCUCAGUUCGGAUUGGAGUCUGCAACUCGACUCCAUGAAGUCGGAAUCGCUAGUAAUCGUGGAUCAGCACGCCACGGUGAAUACGUUCCCGGGCCUUGUACACACCGAUAGC